rnacentral:rRNA from 1 species
AGUCAUAUGCUUGUUUCAAGGACUUAGCCAUGCAUGCCUCAGAAUCACUGCAUUGCAGGAAUCUGCGCAUGGCUCAUUACAUCAGACGUAAUCUGCCGCAAAAAUCUUGCGGUCUCCGCAAAAUUGGAUAACUUGGCGAAACGCCAAGCUAAUACAUGAACCAACCGGAUGUUCUCUGUUCAGGCGGCAGGGCAACCUGCUGCCAUGGGACGUCCAGCGAAUGAAUGAAAGUAAAACCAAUGCCUUCACCGGCAGUAACACUCAGAAGUGUUGAUUCAAUUCAUUCCGUGCGAAAGAAGGGUUUUUUACCCGGCGUCCUUUUGACGAACAACUGCCCUAUCAGCCAGCGAUGGCCGUGUAGUGGACUGCCAUGGCGUUGACGGGAGCGGGGGAUUAGGGUUCGAUUCCGGAGAGGGAGCCUGAGAAAUAGCUACCACUUCUACGGAGGGCAGCAGGCGCGCAAAUUGCCCAAUGUC